rnacentral:rRNA from 1 species
CGGCAACAGCUCAAAUUUGAAAUCUGGCUCUCGGGCCCGAGUUGUAGUCUAGAGAAGCAUCAUCCGUGCUGGACCAUGUACAAGUCUCUUGGAAUAGAGCGUCAUAGAGGGUGAGAAUCCCGUCCUUGACAUGGACUACCAGUGCUUUGUGUUGUGCUCUCAAC